rnacentral:rRNA from 1 species
GUGGGGAAUCUUCCGCAAUGGACGAAAGUCUGACGGAGCAACGCCGCGUGAGUGAUGAAGGUCUUCGGAUUGUAAAGCUCUGUUAAUCGGGACGAAAGAGCCUAGUGUGAAUAAUGCUAGGAAGUGACGGUACCGGAAUAGAAAGCCACGGCUAACUACGUGCCAGCAGCCGCGGUAAUACGUAGGUGGCAAGCGUUGUCCGGAAUUAUUGGGCGUAAAGCGCGCGCAGGCGGAUCUACCAGUCUGUCUUAAAAGUUCGGGGCUUAACCCCGUGAUGGGAUGGAAACUACAGAUCUAGAGUAUCGGAGAGGAAAGUGGAAUUCCUAGUGUAGCGGUGAAAUGCGUAGAUAUUAGGAAGAACACCAGUGGCGAAGGCGACUUUCUGGACGAAAACUGACGCUGAGGCGCGAAAGCCAGGGGAGCGAACGGGAUUAGAAACCCCGGUAGUCC